rnacentral:rRNA from 1 species
ACAGCAGCCGCUUGCGGUCUGUAUUACAGGUGCUGCGAUGGCUGUCGUCAGCUCGUGCUGUGAAGUGUUGGGUUAAGUCCGCAACGAGCGCAACCCUAUCAUCUGUUGCCAGCAUUUAAGGUGGGGACUCAGAUGAGACUGCCGGUGACAAACCGGAGGAAGGUGGGGACGACGUCAAGUCAUCAUGGCCCUUAUGUCCUGGGCUACACACGUGCUACAAUGGCCGGUACAGAGUGAAGCGAAACCGCGAGGUGAAGCAAAACGCAGAAAGCCGGUCUCAGUACGGAUUGGAGUCUGAAACUCGACUUCAUGAAGUUGGAAUCGCUAGUAAUCGCGCAUCAGCAUGGCGCGGUGAAUACGUUCCCGGGCCUU